GCUGGCGUAGCUCAACGGUAGAGCACCUGUUUUGUAAACAGGACGUUGGAGGUUCGAUUCCUCUCGCCAGCU
rnacentral:tRNA from 1 species